rnacentral:tRNA from 4 species
CGGACUUGAAAAUCCGUUGGCUUUAUAGACCAUGAGGGUUCAAGUCCCUCUACCCCCA